rnacentral:ncRNA from 1 species
CACCUGGUUGAUCCUGCCAGUAGUCAUAUGCUUGUCUCAAAGAUUAAGCCAUGCAUGUCUAAGUAUAAGCUUUAAACGGCGAAACUGCGAAUGGCUCAUUAAAACAGUUAUAGUUUAUUUGGUGAUCGAUUACUAUUUGGAUAACCGUAGUAAUUCUAGAGCUAAUACAUGCGUCAAGGCCCGACUUCGGAAGGGCUGCGUUUAUUAGAUACAGAACCAACCUAGGCUCCGCCUAGUCCUUGUUGGUGAUUCAUAAUAACCCGGCGAAUCGCACGGCUUGUCCGGCGAUGGACCAUUCAAGUUUCUGACCUAUCAGCUAUGGACGGUAGGGUAUUGGCCUACCGUGGCGUUGACGGGUAACGGGGAAUUAGGGUUCGAUUCCGGAGAGGGAGCCUGAGAAACGGCUACCACAUCUAAGGAAGGCAGCAGGCGCGCAAAUUACCCAAUCCUGAUACAGGGAGGUAGUGACAAGAAAUAACAAUACAGGGCAAUUCUGUCUUGUAAUUGGAAUGAGUAGAUUUUAAAUCUCUUUACGAGUAUCAAUUGGAGGGCAAGUCUGGUGCCAGCAGCCGCGGUAAUUCCAGCUCCAAUAGCGUAUAUUAAAGUUGUUGCGGUUAAAAAGCUCGUAGUUGGAUUUCUGCCUUGGGCGACCGAUCCACCUUUCCUACGGGAUUGGUUGGUAUCAGGUUUGACCUUGGCUUUUUCUUGGGAUUCGUGCUCACGUACUUAACUGUGCGUUGACCGUGUUCCAAGACUUUUACUUUGAGGAAAUUAGAGUGUUCAAG